UACGUAGGGGGCAAGCGUUGUCCGGAAUCAUUGGGCGUAAAGAGCGUGUAGGCGGCCAGGUAGGUCUGCUGUGAAAACUCGAGGCUCAACCUCGAGACGUCGGCGGAAACCAUCUGGCUAGAGUCCGGAAGAGGAGAGUGGAAUUCCUGGUGUAGCGGUGGAAUGCGCAGAUAUCAGGAGGAACAUCCGUGGCGAAGGCGGCUCUCUGGGACGGUACUGACGCUGAGACGCGAAAGCGUGGGGAGCGAACAGG
rnacentral:rRNA from 1 species